rnacentral:antisense_RNA from 1 species
ACCUCCCUUAGGGAUCUGUCAGCAUGAAGGUGGGGAUGGGUGUCCAGGGCUGUGAAUGUGGCUCCUGGGGGCGGGCCCAGCAGAUGCCAGAAUCAAGGCAGAGAGGAAGAAUCACAAAGAGCCUGGGGCUGGCUGGAAUUUUCUCCCGUGCAGUCGUCCAGCCUCCCGUGGCAGGGAGCGGCAUCUCA